CACAGGCCCUGGAGGCAGAAGGACGUUGAAUCUGCCUCCAGCUGCAAAGCAGGCACGCAAGCCAGAGGGCUGAACAGCAGAGCGCCCUCCACUGGCCCGAUGCGACCCAGCACGAGACCGAGCUUUUUCAUUCCGUCCCGUCUCUAAGCUGGGCUGUGAGGUGAACAUCCCCUAGGAUCUCCAGAGGCACAGGAAGAGGAGGGCCUGCCGUGUGGAGUGUGGAUCCUGCAGCUGUUGUUGAGUCGCCCGGGGGUCCUGGUCACCCAACCCCUGCCACUUGCCAGACUCCGUCAACAGAGACGGGGAUCCGGCGAUCUCCGGACAAACGGUGAGAUGGCGAGACAUGAGAUGGCGGCUCUUCUGUUUGCACAGCAGCCUGCAGUCACACAUCCACCCCCGUGACUGCAGCUCUCUGCUGGGCCACCCCCGGGACGUCAGGGCAGGGACCGAUGGGCCGCGCUGCCUGCCAGCCUGCCCGGCCUCCUGCACCAUCCGGCUUGUCAACCCGGGAGCUGCCGGCACCCGGAUUGGGAGGUCACCCCGGAGCCAAGACGGAGGGGUGUCUGGCUGGCCCAGAUUCAAGGAUCUGUGCUCGGGCCCUUACUGGCCGUGGGACCCUGUGCUGGCCAUGGGACCCUGAGCUGUUCUCAGCCUCCAGUUUUCCCACCUGCCAAAUGGGAAGCAGUGGACCUCACUCAUUCGUGGUUGCCUGCAAAGUCGUGCUUGCAAAAGGUCCAGCCUCAUGCCCACCAGAGACAGCCCAGGGGUCUCCUCUCACCCCCUCUCCUCCGUGGUCACGUCUCAGAAAUGUGUAAAUCGUCACAGGGCAGCCAUUUUCCCCUGGUGCCCCCCCACUUGCGGUCUCAGCACAUGACAGGGCGGCGGGUCUCAGCACAU